ACAAGAAGAACACAACAAUUUUAUUAUAAAUUGUUAUUCUUUACUUUCUCUUUGAAACAAGAUUACAAGUGUCACAGAAUAGCAAAUAACUUCUCUCACCCUUAUUAGGAUUUGCGUUAUGCAAUUAUGAGAGACUAGUAUGCUAUUUAUAAGAAAGCUAAUAUACUAAAUUAAUGAGUUUUUACACCAUGCCAAUUACACAAGCUAAUUUAAAACAAAGCAAACUUAAACAACUGGACAUAACAAACAUACCCAAUUCGACAUUCUAACAAUCCUAACAUACUUCGACUACAUCAUGUGAACAGACUUUGACGACAUGCUAAUGAUUUUGUCGAAUUGUCGAACCAAGAAACUAUCCUUCGACCAAAUUAAAAUUCGAUCUAAUAUCUCAAUAUUUUUGUCACAACAAUUCAUCCAUGAAGUCAAUAAAUUAGAGAAAUCAAAACCUGAGGAAAGGCAAAUUUCACUUUGGGAGGCUGCAAAUUAAAACAUAGAAAGAGAGGGCUUUCUAAGAGAGAAAAAUCAAAAAUCAAAAAUCAAAACUUAGAAUACAAAAAUAGAGAAAGUGGGUAUUUCAGAGUCUUCACUAGAAAAACUAGCCUCCAUCAACUUUCAUAAACAACCACAAAACCCCACAUCAACAAUUUUCAUUAAAAAUCAAAAUAGAGAAAACAUAACAAUGUAGGAAUUCAUAUAUAUAUUUAUAUAAUAAUAUAUAUAUUAUAUAUUAUAUAUAUAUAUUAUAUAUAUAAUAUAUUAUAUAUAUAUAUAUAUAUAUAUAUAUAUAUAUAUAUAUAUAAUAUAUAUAUUAUAGUAUAUAACUGACUUUUAAUCAUUAACUACAGAAAUAAAAUAAAAAAUGAAACACAUUUGCAUGUUUUAUAAAGUAAUUACAUUGAGAUUUGUUAGGUUUAUAAUUUUGUACAGAAAACAUAAUGAUGAUUUUAUAUAUUGUACUUCCUCUAGUCUGCAAUCAAGGAAACAUCGAGUUAAAGAUUUUUUUAAAUACAAUGUUUGUUUAUGCUUAUAUAAAAAAGUGUUCAUUAUUAGAAACACUUAUACGAAACGGAUGUAAGAUAUAGAUUAAAUUUGAACCAUUUAUCUUGCAAACAUAUAAAAUCAUCAUUCAAUUGUUUAUACAAAAUCAUAAACCUGAUAAAUCUCAAUAUAAAUACUUCAUAGAACAUGCAGAAAUGAUCUAAUUGGAAUUUUAUUUGGCCUUUCUAAUAACAAAAAGGCAACAACAGAGAUAUAUAUAUUUUAAGGAGAUAACUAUUGCAACAAAGACCAAAACUCUUUCUAACUGAAUCGCCUUGCCACAACCUCCUACCUAACCAAGCUUCCACUUUCCUUCGCACAAUUUUAGAGAACUCAUCGAAAAUUAGCGGAUGGUCUAAAAUUUCUACCUCAUUAGAACAAAAAACACAACAAAGAUUCUUAAAAUCAGUUAUAAUACCUCUUUUAUUUAAUUGAUCCUUCGUUUAAAAAAAGUUCUCCACUCAAAAGCUUUGAUCAGGAACAGAAUCUUCAACCUCCACGAUAUAUUGCAAGCCGAAUACAAUCCCUCUGCCGAAUCGUCUUUCUCAAAACAGACUGUCAUAGCCUCAUAUGCCGACUUUGUAAAUUAAGGGUUAAAGUAGUUGAUGAAUAUGAAAUGAUAUGAAUUUAAA
rnacentral:lncRNA from 1 species